rnacentral:rRNA from 1 species
GAUGAACGCUGGCGGCGUGCCUAAUACAUGCAAGUCGAGCGAACGGACGAGAAGGCUGCCUCCCUGAUUUUAGCGGCGCACGGGUGAGUAACACGUGGAGAACCUACCUAUAAGACUGGGAUAAAUUCGGGAAACCGGUGGUAAUUCCGGAUAAUAUUUUCAACCCCAUGAUUCAAAAGUUAAAGACCGUCUUGCUUUCACUUAUACAUGGAUCCGCGCUGGAUUAGCUAGUUGGUAAGGUAACGGCUUACCAAGGCAACGAUGCAUAGCCGACCUGAGAGGGUGAUCGGCCACACUGGAACUGAGACACGGUCCAGACUCCUACGGGAGGCAGCAGUGGGGAAUCUUGCGCAAUGGGCGAAAGCCUGACGGAGCAACGCCGCGUGAGUGAUGAAGGUCUUCGGAUCGUAAAACUCUGUUAUUAGGGAAGAACAUAUGUGUAAGUAACUGUGCACAUCUUGACGGUACCUAAUCAGAAAGCCCCGGCUAACUCCGUG